rnacentral:rRNA from 1 species
AGCUUUUGAGUUAAAUAUAUUAUAAUAUUAGUUAUUUAUUUAAAGUGUUGUAAAACUUUAUUAAAAAAUAUAUUUAGGGGUGAUAGGCUAUUCAAAAACUAAGAUAUCUUGAAUCUAAUUAAAAGUAUAUAGUACACUCAACACGACUAUUAAGUGAUUAGGCUUUAUAGAAAUAUUAACUUUUUUUAGAUUUUUUUUAUUAUAAUUUAAUAACUAAAUUAUAUUAAUAAAAUAUUAUACAUAUAUAAAAAUUUAUAAGGAGUAAUUAGAUAAAUUUAAGUUUUAUAAUAAUUGAAAUAAUGUUAAUAUUAGUAUUUGUUUAAUAUUUAUUUGAUGAACUCGGCAAAAUGUAUUUCUCAACUGUUUAUCAAAAACAUAACUAUGUGUAUAUAAUACAUAGCGGUUUCUGCUCAA